GACGAACGCUGGCGGCGUGCUUAACACAUGCAAGUCGAACGGAAAGGCCCUGCUUUUGUGGGGUGCUCGAGUGGCGAACGGGUGAGUAACACGUGAGUAACCUGCCCUUGACUUUGGGAUAACUUCAGGAAACUGGGGCUAAUACCGGAUAGGAGCUCCUGCUGCAUGGUGGGGGUUGGAAAGUUUCGGCGGUUGGGGAUGGACUCGCGGCUUAUCAGCUUGUUGGUGGGGUAGUGGCUUACCAAGGCUUUGACGGGUAGCCGGCCUGGGAGGGUGACCGGCCACAUUGGGACUGGGAUACGGACCAGACUCCUACGGGAGGCAGCAGUGGGGAAUAUUGCACAAUGGGCGGAAGCCUGAUGCAGCAACGCCGCGUGCGGGAUGACGGCCUUCGGGUUGUAAACCGCUUUCGCCUGUGACGAAGCGUGAGUGACGGUAAUGGGUAAAGAAGCACCGGCUAACUACGUG
rnacentral:rRNA from 1 species